rnacentral:rRNA from 1 species
AGCGUACACGGUGGAUGCCAUGGCAGUCAGAGGCGAUGAAGGACGUGCUAAUCUGCGAUAAGCGUCGGUAAGGUGAUAUGAACCGUUAUAACCGGCGAUUUCCGAAUGGGGAAACCCAGUGUGUUUCGACACACUAUCAUUAACUGAAUCCAUAGGUUAAUGAGGCGAACCGGGGGAACUGAAACAUCUAAGUACCCCGAGGAAAAGAAAUCAACCGAGAUUCCCCCAGUAGCGGCGAGCGAACGGGGAGCAGCCCAGAGCCUGAAUCAGUGUGUGUGUUAGUGGAAGCGUCUGGAAAGGCGCGCGAUACAGGGUGACAGCCCCGUACACAAAAAUGCACAUGCUGUGAGCUCGAUGAGUAGGGCGGGACACGUGGUAUCCUGUCUGAAUAUGGGGGGACCAUCCUCCAAGGCUAAAUACUCCUGACUGACCGAUAGUGAACCAGUACCGUGAGGGAAAGGCGAAAAGAACCCCGGCGAGGGGAGUGAAAAAGAACCUGAAACCGUGUACGUACAAGCAGUGGGAGCACGCUUAGGCGUGUGACUGCGUACCUUUUGUAUAAUGGGUCAGCGACUUAUAUUCUGUAGCAAGGUUAACCGAAUAGGGGAGCCGAAGGGAAACCGAGUCUUAACUGGGCGUUAAGUUGCAGGGUAUAGACCCGAAACCCGGUGAUCUAGCCAUGGGCAGGUUGAAGGUUGGGUAACACUAACUGGAGGACCGAACCGACUAAUGUUGAAAAAUUAGCGGAUGACUUGUGGCUGGGGGUGAAAGGCCAAUCAAACCGGGAGAUAGCUGGUUCUCCCCGAAAGCUAUUUAGGUAGCGCCUCGUGAAUUCAUCUCCGGGGGUAGAGCACUGUUUCGGCAAGGGGGUCAUCCCGACUUACCAACCCGAUGCAAACUGCGAAUACCGGAGAAUGUUAUCACGGGAGACACACGGCGGGUGCUAACGUCCGUCGUGAAGAGGGAAACAACCCAGACCGCCAGCUAAGGUCCCAAAGUCAUGGUUAAGUGGGAAACGAUGUGGGAAGGCCCAGACAGCCAGGAUGUUGGCUUAGAAGCAGCCAUCAUUUAAAGAAAGCGUAAUAGCUCACUGGUCGAGUCGGCCUGCGCGGAAGAUGUAACGGGGCUAAACCAUGCACCGAAGCUGCGGCAGCGACACUAUGUGUUGUUGGGUAGGGGAGCGUUCUGUAAGCCUGUGAAGGUGUGCUGUGAGGCAUGCUGGAGGUAUCAGAAGUGCGAAUGCUGACAUAAGUAACGAUAAAGCGGGUGAAAAGCCCGCUCGCCGGAAGACCAAGGGUUCCUGUCCAACGUUAAUCGGGGCAGGGUGAGUCGACCCCUAAGGCGAGGCCGAAAGGCGUAGUCGAUGGGAAACAGGUUAAUAUUCCUGUACUUGGUGUUACUGCGAAGGGGGGACGGAGAAGGCUAUGUUGGCCGGGCGACGGUUGUCCCGGUUUAAGCGUGUAGGCUGGUUUUCCAGGCAAAUCCGGAAAAUCAAGGCUGAGGCGUGAUGACGAGGCACUACGGUGCUGAAGCAACAAAUGCCCUGCUUCCAGGAAAAGCCUCUAAGCAUCAGGUAACAUCAAAUCGUACCCCAAACCGACACAGGUGGUCAGGUAGAGAAUACCAAGGCGCUUGAGAGAACUCGGGUGAAGGAACUAGGCAAAAUGGUGCCGUAACUUCGGGAGAAGGCACGCUGAUAUGUAGGUGAAGUCCCUUGCGGAUGGAGCUGAAAUCAGUCGAAGAUACCAGCUGGCUGCAACUGUUUAUUAAAAACACAGCACUGUGCAAACACGAAAGUGGACGUAUACGGUGUGACGCCUGCCCGGUGCCGGAAGGUUAAUUGAUGGGGUCAGCGCAAGCGAAGCUCUUGAUCGAAGCCCCGGUAAACGGCGGCCGUAACUAUAACGGUCCUAAGGUAGCGAAAUUCCUUGUCGGGUAAGUUCCGACCUGCACGAAUGGCGUAAUGAUGGCCAGGCUGUCUCCACCCGAGACUCAGUGAAAUUGAACUCGCUGUGAAGAUGCAGUGUACCCGCGGCAAGACGGAAAGACCCCGUGAACCUUUACUAUAGCUUGACACUGAACAUUGAGCCUUGAUGUGUAGGAUAGGUGGGAGGCUUGGAAGUGUGGACGCCAGUCUGCAUGGAGCCGACCUUGAAAUACCACCCUUUAAUGUUUGAUGUUCUAACGUUGACCCGUAAUCCGGGUUGCGGACAGUGUCUGGUGGGUAGUUUGACUGGGGCGGUCUCCUCCUAAAGAGUAACGGAGGAGCACGAAGGUUGGCUAAUCCUGGUCGGACAUCAGGAGGUUAGUGCAAUGGCAUAAGCCAGCUUGACUGCGAGCGUGACGGCGCGAGCAGGUGCGAAAGCAGGUCAUAGUGAUCCGGUGGUUCUGAAUGGAAGGGCCAUCGCUCAACGGAUAAAAGGUACUCCGGGGAUAACAGGCUGAUACCGCCCAAGAGUUCAUAUCGACGGCGGUGUUUGGCACCUCGAUGUCGGCUCAUCACAUCCUGGGGCUGAAGUAGGUCCCAAGGGUAUGGCUGUUCGCCAUUUAAAGUGGUACGCGAGCUGGGUUUAGAACGUCGUGAGACAGUUCGGUCCCUAUCUGCCGUGGGCGCUGGAGAACUGAGGGGGGCUGCUCCUAGUACGAGAGGACCGGAGUGGACGCAUCACUGGUGUUCGGGUUGUCAUGCCAAUGGCACUGCCCGGUAGCUAAAUGCGGAAGAGAUAAGUGCUGAAAGCAUCUAAGCACGAAACUUGCCCCGAGAUGAGUUCU